AGUCAUGAAAGGGCUAUUUCCCCUACCUUUCUUUCUAGGCGCAGGAUUUCAUUCCCCUAGUGCUUUCUGUCCUUCUGAGGGGUGAAAGCGAGAUUGAAUGCUCUAAGCUGAGUGUAAGGGUAAGGUCGAGAUAGUCUUGGCAAUUCAUCUACCUUGUUUGUGAGGUAUUAUUUUGAGAAUUCACAUUAUUAUAGGGAACUGAGGCGUUUUAACAUACCGGACAAUUACAGUUAUUACAGUUAUUACACUUACAGGUCCCCUAGGAUGCGAUCGAGCAUUUUCUACUUGCCGUAGCGAAGGCAAGUCGUAUAAAGGCGAGCAGCCCUUAUAGCAAUAGCAUAGCCUACUUAUAGCCUUUCCCUUUGCUAGAUCAGAACCCUUACUUUAUUUUAUUGCGAGCCAAAAACUAGAAUGUGUUUUAUCAUGGGCUAGGAAUUCCCCCUGUCCGUAACCGUAAGGUAGCUGGUUUCAGGGUAGCC
rnacentral:lncRNA from 1 species